rnacentral:rRNA from 1 species
UACAGAGGUGGCAAGCGUUGUUCGGAAUUACUGGGCGUAAAGGGCUCGUAGGUGGCCAACUAAGUCGGACGUGAAAUCCCUCGGCUUAACCGGGGAACUGCGUCUGAUACUGGGUGGCUUGAAUCCGGGAGAGGGAUGCGGAAUUCCAGGUGUAGCGGUGAAAUGCGUAGAUAUCGAGAGGAACACCUGCGGCGAAGGCGGCAUCCUGGACCGAUAUUGACGCUGAUGCGCGAAAGCCAGGGGAGCAAACGGG